rnacentral:rRNA from 1 species
GACGAAGUCAACAAAACCAACCAACAGUAAGAGGAUGAAGUUGUGUUGGAGACAGAACUCAAUCUUGAACCCAACAUAUACAAUGGGAGAAAAGAAACGAAUAAUUAUUUCUAUCCGGAGGUCGGGAAGCUUAUUUAACUCUGGUGUUACGUGUCGAAAUCACAAGAUCUUUUGUCGAAAGAACGACGCACUAAACUGCCCACCUUCUCUUAUGUGCCGUAAACUCUUAGGACACCUACUACUGGUGUGUGAGUGUGUAGGUCAUGAACUGGCCAACCGGAUCGGGGUUUCUGUUCAAUGAUGACUACCACUUUAGAGACUUCACCAGACGUCUUCUCAGAAAAAACCACUGUUCCUACUCCUAGGAUGUUUCUGACUCCAUGUUCCACGUUUAGUUUGAGGAUUAUGAACACAGAAAUAAGUCUAGGUACCGACGAAAAGCGGUGUAAGAACAACGUAAAACAGUCCGUGAAUAGUAGCGACUCCACUAGGACCCCGUUUCACUAUCCGUCGACGAGGCGCUUGACUUCUCGAAGGACGUCCGCGUUUUGGGCUAGUUGGCACCGCGGAUACUGUGAACCAGUCUCCGGCUCUGGAGCGGUACGGUAGUGGUUCCGCAACCUACCUGCGGCGGCCCACACAGUCAAUAGAGCUGGAGAGCUCAAGGUCGAAUCGACCCGGCAGGAAGCCCCAAGAACUAUGCGCACUUAAUGGUCAUAGGUUUCUCUCGGUUAUCUAAACCACUGUGUUUGAAGUGUCUGGGAAAUUACCUCGGCUUAGCUUACAGCAGCUCCAUCCCUCUCCGACC